rnacentral:rRNA from 3 species
AAACUUUCAACAACGGAUCUCUUGGUUCUGGCAUCGAUGAAGAACGCAGCGAAAUGCGAUAAGUAAUGUGAAUUGCAGAAUUCAGUGAAUCAUCGAAUCUUUGAACGCACAUUGCGCCCUCCGGCAUUCCGGGGGGCAUGCCUGUUCGAGCGUCAUUACAACCCUCAAG